GGUAGCGUGGCCGAGCGGUCUAAGGCGCUGGAUUAAGGGGGCAUGGGUUCGAAUCCCACCGCUACCA
rnacentral:tRNA from 1 species